ACCUUUAUUGUUAGAAUUUUACUAAAAUAAAAUAGGCAUAGCAAAACGACAGCGUUUCGGCCAUCUCACGUAUUUUUAGUCUCCUGCUGUCUCAUUUCUCCCUGUUGUUGCAGUCGCAUGUACCGGAUCGAUCUUGUCUCCGUGGAAUUCGGUUGCUGAAGUAGCUUAAAAUGGGAGCUAAAUAUGUUCUUCCGGCUUUAGGGGGAUCCCUUGCUAUUGCAUAUGUUUGUGACUAUCUGCUCGCCGAGCAGAAGAUCUUUGGAGGCACUACUCCUAAAACGGUCUCGAGCAAAGAAUGGUGGGUAGAAACUGACAAGAAGUUCCAAGCAUGGCCUCGCACCGCAGGCCCCCCUGUGGUCAUGAAUCCCAUUUCCCGUCAGAACUUCAUAGUCAAGUCCAGCAUCGAUCAAUAAAAUUUUGAAUUGCUUCUUUAAGCAUCAAAAAGCUUAUGUUUACAAACCUGUCUUAUACAUUGCCGGGAUUGGAUCUUCAUUGUUUGGUUUAGUGCCCCCCAGAUUUGAUCUAUUCUCGAUAUGAAUAAUGGCCAAGUGCUCUAAUCCUUGCCGGACUUGAGAUUUCUAUUUUCGGACUGAGUUUAUUUAUGUUGUUCAUCUUUUGGCUUAAAUUUGUUUGUGUUUGCAUUACCAUUGUUCAUGGAAAAACAGGUCUACUUCCUUGUCA